UUUGAAGUCUCCUGCCAGAGUGCUGAAUUUGUCUAUAUUAUUAUUUUUUGGCAGUGUAUAGAUAUGUUUUUGAAGAAUUCAUAUUUGCAUAUCAUGCUGAAUGAGAAGAAUGGCAAGGUAAAAAUUGUACAAAUGCCAUAUGAAGGUGAGGGAUUAUGGGUGACUGAGAAGCUAGCAAAAAGAAUGGAACAGACUGAUUUGCAACAAGUUUCCAGCUGUCUUCAUAGCAUUUAGGAAUGGCAAGAUAAGUUUAAUGAACUACAAAAGAUGGGUGUAUAUGUGAUGCCUUGUAGUAAUGCUGGUUUAAGUAUUGAAAAGAAUUGUUUGUUUCAUAACCUGGAAGAUGGUCAAACAGUUCUGGAAAGGCAUUUAUUGGGUAUCAACUGGAGCGCUUUCGGCUUACACACCAUCAUCAGCACAAACAAUAAAACAGAAUACAAUCCAUUAAUCAAACAUUCUAGAACAUCAAGUUUAAACUUAAAUUACAAUAGGUGCCAGCACAAACAAGAAUAGAACAGAAUACAAUCCGUUAAUCAAACAUUCUAGAACAUUAGGUUUGGGCGUAGACUAUAAUAAAUGCAAAUU
rnacentral:lncRNA from 1 species